GUGGCGUUGGCAGAGUAAUGUAUUUGUUUUAGGAACAAAAAAUGUGAGUAUCACACGCUAUA
rnacentral:tRNA from 1 species